rnacentral:rRNA from 1 species
GAUGAACGCUGGCGGCGUGCUUAACACAUGCAAGUCGAACGAAGCACUUGAAACAGAUUCUUCGGAUGAAGUUUCCUGUGACUGAGUGGCGGACGGGUGAGUAAUGCCUGGGUAACCCGCUUCCUACAGGGGGAUAAAUGUUAGAAAUGGCUGCUAAUACCGCAUAAGCGCAAGGCCUCGCCAUAUGCAGUGGGAAAAACGCCGGUGGUAUGAGAGGGGCCCGCGUUGGGUUAGAUAGUUGGGAGGGUAACGGCCUACCAAGGCGAGGAUCCAUAGCCGGCCUGAGAGGGUGGGCGGCCACAUUGGGACGGGGACACGGCACAGAAUCCUACGGGAGGCAGCAGUGGGGAAUAUUGCACAAUGGGGGAAACCCUGAUGCAGCGACGCCGCGUGAGCGAAGAAGUAUUUCGGUAUGUAAAGCUCUAUCAGCAGGGAAGAAAAUGACGGUACCUGACUAAGAAGCCCCGGCUAACUACGUGCCAGCCGCCGCCGUAAUAC